rnacentral:rRNA from 1 species
AGUCUGGUGCCAGCAGCCGCGGUAAUUCCAGCUCCAAUAGCGUAUAUUAAAGUUGUUGCAGUUAAAAAGCUCGUAGUUGAACCUUGGGCCUGGUUGGCCGGUCCGCCUCACCGCGUGCACUGGUCCGACCGGGUCUUUCCUUCUGGGGAGCCGCAUGCCCUUCACUGGGUGUGUCGGGGAACCAGGACUUUUACUUUGAAAAAAUUAGAGUGUUCAAAGCAGGCCUAUGCUCGAAUACAUUAGCAUGGAAUAAUAGAAUAGGACGUGUGGUUCUAUUUUGUUGGUUUCUAGGACCGCCGUAAUGAUUAAUAGGGAUAGUCGGGGGCAUCAGUAUUCAAUUGUCAGAGGUGAAAUUCUUGGAUUUAUUGAAGACUAACUACUGCGAAAGCAUUUGCCAAGGAUGUUUUCAUUAAUCAGUGAACGAAAGUUAGGGGAUCGAAGACGAUCAGAUACCGUCGUAGUCUUAACCAUAAACUAUGCCGACUAGGGAUCGGGCGAUGUUAUCUUUUUGACUCGCUCGGCACCUCACGAGAAAUCAAAGUCUUUGGGUUCUGGGGGGAGUAUGGU